AGGAAGUGAGCUACUAAGGACCCCCACCCAACAAAGACCACCUCAAACAAAGGAAAUCUUUCUGGAGAAAAGAAGAAUGGCCAGAUUAUAUCAUCAAGCAACUCUGGGACACAAUAUUAAUGCUUCACAGCGUUUCAAGAGACUUAUCUUGCCAGAGAAACCCCAAGUCUGACAAACAACAGCCUGUGAUCAUCCAACCCUUAAAGCAAUUCUAAACACCCUAAGUCUAUCCCAAUAGGAAGAGAGCUGCUGAAGAGAUAUAACCCAUAGAAGGAGCCUCCUUCUCCAAAGCCUACAGCUCCUGGGGCCAUGGAAAGACAGGACAAAGGAGAUCCUUCCAGAGAACAAACCGGACCAGCCAGGUUGGCCACGGAGCUCACAUUACCUGCAGGGCAGGGACACCUUGCUCUUCCCAUCCUACCAAAGACCACCUUAUGGGUUCAUGGACCAAAGACCACUUUAGGCUGUUUUUCAUUUUCCUUCUUACCAAAUGGAAGUAUUGUCAUUAUCCUGCCCUUUCUCUGUCCCUUCAGGUGUGUGUUAUAGUUAUACUGGAACCAUAGGUUGUGGGGCCACAAGGAACCACAUCAGAACCUGACCAAGAAGACUGCGCAUCACUCAGAGAUCUUGAACUUGGAGCAAUAACCAGAUGAGUCACUCUAUAGUCACCCUCUGGGGAAGGGGUGAUUUUUACAGCAUGUCAUUAUAGCUUCAUUACAGUUAUGACCUGGGUUCUUUAAGGGACAGGUAAGAGGAGAAGGGUACGUGUGUGGAUGUUGAGCUGGCAAAUGGGUGCAUUCAUUAUGGCACAGUCUGCCGCUCACCAGCCAGUGCCGGUCCAUCCUUCUUCAUAGCAGAAUCCCCUCUCACCCAGUCCAUCUAGUCUGAGGGAUUUCAACUCUAUCACAUGACUCAGGCCUGACCAAUCAGAGCACUGCCUCCCCUGUCCAAUGCAGGUCAGUGAGAACUGGGGUGAUCGAAGACUGUCUGAGAUAAAGCCAAGAAAGAAAGAAGCUGAAGCAAGAGAGGGAGAGGGAGCAAGCAAGGGGGCAAGAUAGAGAAAGAGAAAAAGAAUGAGCAAGGGGAAAAUCACAGGCCUUGGGGACAUUUAAGCCUUUAGAUGUAAGGCCCAUUGGAAAUUCUACUUCUGCCUCCAAACGUUUUGUCAUGGAAACAUACAGUGUAUCUUCUGGCUGAUGCCAUAGAGUUGGACUUUCUAUCACUUGCAUUUAAAAUGAUUCUAACUCAUUCAAUUGGCUCUUAAGCCAAAAGACGCUCAAACUCACAUAAUAAGAAAGAUAAACAGUUAAAUUGAGAUGCCAUUAUUUUUCACUCUCAUUUGAAUGGCAAAAAUCCAAAACACACUGUGUUGGCCAAGUUGUGGAGAAAUAGACAAUUUCAUACAUGGCUGGCGGAACAUAAGCUGGUACAAGCCCUGUGGAGGGCAAUUUAGAAAUGCCUAGAAAUAUCACAAAUGCAUGUAUCCUCAAAUAUUUCCAAAUAUAUUCACAUGCAUAAAAUGAACUAUAUAUGACUACUUAUUUUAGCAGUGAUUUUCAUAGUAAAAAUUGACUUAGGUAUUCAUCAGUAGAGAACUGAACUGAUAAAUUUUGGUUGCAUCCAUAAAGUAGGAAUACUCUGAAGUUAAAAGAGAGAGAAUUAUACCUACUCUUAUGCAAGAUAUAGUGCUAGUACAUGGAAUAAUCAAGAUGGAGAAAAAUGUUAUAGUACACUAUCAUGUAAAAUAAAGGAAGGUGGUUUAAAAGCAUUUCUUGUAUAUGAAUAAAGCAUACUCUGAAACUAUAAAAAGCCUAAUAACAUUGGCAAGUUUUGGCAUGGACUUAGUGAAAUGAACAUUUUUUUUCACUAUAUUCUUUUUAUGCUUUUUGUUUUUGAGCCAUAUGAAUACACUACCUUUCAAAAAUUAAAUGAAUUAAAAAUGGAAAAUGCCCUAACUAGGACCCAGGAGCUACAGAAUGAUAAAGAAAGGUUAUGGGUGCCGGCACUGAACUGCAUUAGUUACAGGAGCUGGCUUCUUGCAUCUUCUAGAACGUCUGGUCUACUGUACCCCUGAGAGAUCUGUGCUGAAAAGCUGGAAAUAAAUAUUCUAUGAGGAGCAUGGCACCUGCAGCACAAUGUUGAGUUAACUGAAGGAUGCAACACAGCUGGAGAUUGAAAGGGGAAGGAAAAGAGAGGUCAAGAGAUUUAUUCCACUGACUCCUGCCUUAACAGGAGUGAUUCUAGAAGAGGGUUUGUUUCUCUACCACCACAGUGUCUCUACCACCACAAUGUCUCUACCACCAAUGUCAAUUGACUAUUUCAAGGGUUAUAGCCAUCACCAGAUUUUAUUGACACCAAUUCUUCCCCAUGUGCAAGCAGGCCAAAUGCUGGUAACAGAUUUCCGCUGCAGCUAAUUCCUGGGUGUUUACCAUCCCUUUUCAAUUCCCUUGGCCUUACCCAUCUGUGAUGGUUAAUUUUAUGUUUUAACGUGUCUGCGCCACAGGGUGCCCAGGAAUUUGGUCAAACAUGAUUCUGGGUGUCUCUGUGAAGGUGUUUUUGGGUGACAUUAGCAUUUAAUCAGUAGACCGAGUAAAGCAGAUUGCCGUCUAUAAUGUGGGGGAACCUGAGCAGAGCGGAAGGCCUGAGCAGAACGAAAGGCUGACCCUCAACCGCAGGUGAGAGAGGUUCUCCUGCCGAAGGUUUUCAAAUUGAAGAUCACCUCUUCUUGGUUCUACAGCAGCUUCUGACCUUCAAACUCGAGCUGGAACAUUGGGUCUGCAGAUUUACCAGCCUUUAUAUCAUGUGAGCCAACUUCUUAUUACAUAUACAUAUAGUUUUGUUUUUCUGGGGAACCAUAACUAAUACAUUAUCCCUCUUAAAACAUUUGUUUUCCAGGGGGACCUUGGUAUUGGUAUAAAAAAAAAUGGCCCAAGGAAGCAAACCCUCAAACUAGGAUUCUGGGAUUCCAUUGCCCACGUCUUUGAUAAGCUCACCGAUACCCUCUGCCAGGGAAAGUAGGGCACUAGUAAUCCAUGAUAUGUAGCAAUAUCGUGAUUACUCAAGAUAUCACUGGUGUAGGAUGCAGUAUAAGUGGAUGGCAAGACAUGAUCUAACAAAUAUGACUCUUAAUUGCACUGGUCAAAAUGAUUACAACUAUGGCCAGGCUCCUCCUAACUGCCUUGGAGAACUUACUAAAAGAGAGGGGUGAGGAUGUAAAGACUUGAACUAUCAACUUAGUCAAAUUCACCUGGGCUUCUAGUAUUCAGAACUGUGAAAUACUGACUAGGCAAUGUUUAAACAACUAAGUUUGCCAUAACUUGUUAUGGCAGCAAUAGAAAACUAUACAAAUUGUUGUUAUCAUUAGUAGUAAAUAAUAACAAAAAAUACAAUUGGGAACAACCUACAUAUCCAUCAAUAAAUAAUUGCAUGUUGGUAUGAUAGAAUGCUAUGAUGUUUUUUUAAAGAAUGUAUACAAGCUCUUUAUGUGUUGUUAUAAGAAGCUCCUGAAUAUAUGUGAAACUAAAUACAGGAUAGCCAGUAUAAUAUGCUGCCAUUUGUGUAAUAAAAGUAGGAGUAUUGUGUAUUUAUAUUUGUGAAUAUAUGUGUAUAUAGACAUUAAGAGUCUCCGGAAUGAUAUAGGAGGCUAAUAACUGUGGUUACUUAUUUUAAAGGGUCAUAAAUAAAAACUGGCAGCUGGGAGCAACAG